CUGAAAAUGAAAAGCUUAGGCCUUGAAACUUACUUGCACUUUCUGUCCUUGUUUCAUAAAACAGAGGUUUUCAAAGUUUUUAGCGUUGUAACCUUGCUUACAGGGAAUGUCUAUGUGAUCUUCAACCAAACAUUUUGCUGGCUCUAGCUGGCCCUUAAUCCAAAUGGAUGCCCCUCCCAAAGCACUCUCUGUGCUCAUCGACGUGUAACUCCAUUGGCAAUUGGCUCGACAUUCCUUUUCCUAGAUGGCACUCGAAUCGCUGUCUCAAAAGAUCCGCUCCAUGUUGAUGGCCUCAAAACGACAGCAUAUGUCUGAGGUAGAAAUGUUGCUGUGCUUGCCAUUGCUGCCACAGCUGUCAUGAUUGGGAUGAGUGAGAUAGAGCGUUAGUUGGUCUGCAUGCACACCAAAGCCAAACCUAGGCCACUUGUAUAAUCUGCAGUCCGAAAAAUUCCUUUGAAGCUUUUCUCUCAAUCACGAAGCUGCGCUUCUCCCCUCGUGGCAAAGUUUUUAUAGAAGUGUUUUGGGGGGUUUUUAAAUAGGAGAAAUUUUUGCCCUGUCACGCCUGAAAAUGUACAGGAUUAGAAGCUGGAUUAUGAAUCAAUCAUGCUUGGUGGAUGUUGUAUUAAAAAUGUGGCUUGGACCCCCAAGCACGCGUCUAAAAACCAAACACUA